AGCUCCAAUAGCGUAUAUUAAAGUUGUUGCAGUUAAAAAGCUCGUAGUUGGAUUUCGGGGCGGCCUGGCUGGUCCGUCGCAAGACGAGCACUGGUCAGCCGCCCUUCCUCUCGAAAGCCCCGACUGCUCUUCACUGCAGUGGUCGGGGAGUUCGGGACGUUUACUUUGAAAAAAUUAGAGUGUUCAAGGCAGGCUCGCGCCUGAAUACAUUAGCAUGGAAUAAUGGAAGAGGACCUCGGUCCUAUUUUGUUGGUUUCUGGGGCCGAAGUAAUGAUUAAGAGGGACAGUUGGGGGCAUUCGUAUUUAAUUGUCAGAGGUGAAAUUCUCGGAUUUAUGAAAGACGAACAACUGCGAAAGCAUUUGCCAAGGAUGUUUUCAUUAAUCAAGAACGAAAGUACGC
rnacentral:rRNA from 1 species